GUGCCAGCAGCCGCGGUAAUACGUAGGGUGCAAGCGUUGUCCGGAUUUAUUGGGUUUAAAGGGUGCGUAGGCGGCCCUGUAAGUCAGUGGUGAAAUACUCCAGCUUAACUGGAGGGGUGCCAUUGAUACUGCAGGGCUUGAGUUAAGUUGAAGUUGGCGGAAUUGACGGUGUAGCGGUGAAAUGCUUAGAUAUCGUCAAGAACACCGAUAGUGAAGACAGCUAACUAAACUUUUACUGACGCUGAGGCACGAAAGUGUGGGGAUCAAACAGGAUUAGAUACCCUGGUAGUCC
rnacentral:rRNA from 1 species